rnacentral:rRNA from 1 species
CCAGAAUAAGGGAUGGGCAAGACCGGUGCCAGCCGCCGCGGUAAUACCGGCAGCCCAAGUGAUGGCCGAUCUUAUUGGGCCUAAAGCGUCCGUAGCUGGCCGCGCAAGUCCAUCGGGAAAAUCCACCUGCUCAACAGGUGGGCGCCCGGUAGAAACUGCGUGGCUUGGGACCGGAAGGCGCGACGGGUACGUCCGGGGUAGGAGUGAAAUCCCGUAAUCCUGGACGGACCGCCGAUGGCGAAAGCACGUCGCGAGAACGGAUCCGACAGUGAGGGACGAAAGCCAGGGUCUCGAACCGGAUUAGAUACCCGGGUAGUCCUGGCCGUAAACAAUGUCUGCUAGGUGUGGCUCCCACUACGAGUGGGUGCUGUGCCGUAGGGAAGCCGCUAAGCAGACCGCCUGGGAAGUACGUCCGCAAGGAUGAAACUUAAAGGAAUUGGCGGGGGAGCACUACAACCGGAGGAGCCUGCGGUUUAAUUGGACUCAACGCCGGACAUCUCACCAGCAUCGACUGUAAUAAUGACGAUCAGGUUGAUGACCUUAUCCGAGCUUCAGAGAGGAGGUGCAUGGCCGCCGUCA